GGUUUCUUGAAUGCUGUUAUAUUUAUAUGGUACCAGAUAUUUAGCUUUACCUAUUCAUUUUUGGCUAGGAGAGAUAUUUAGAAAUGGGAUUGAAAUGCUUUCAUCAUUCAUAUUUUGAAGCUUCUUCAAGUUUUUUCAUUCUGUUUCGGCCAUGAAUAUCAAUAGUUUAUGAGUUUGAAUGGAUCCAGUAACAUCAGUAAAGGAUAGCUAUGGGCUUAAGGUAGGCUAUGUAAUGUUAUCAAAAGGCCAGAGCAUUUUAUGUCUUCCCUGGAUCCUUCUUCAGCUUAGCGGAACUUGGUAGGAUGCACUUAUAUUGCUGAGUACUGCCUCUAUUGAAAAGAUUUUCCUUCGUCAUGAGGGAUUGGUGGUUAAUCCCUGUG
rnacentral:lncRNA from 1 species